UACGUAGGGUCCGAGCGUUUGUCCGGAAUUACUGGGCGUAAAGAGCUCGUAGGUGGUUUGUCGCGUUGUUCGUGAAAACUCACAGCUCAACUGUGGGCGUGCGGGCGAUACGGGCAGACUAGAGUACUGCAGGGGAGACUGGAAUUCCUGGUGUAGCGGUGGAAUGCGCAGAUAUCAGGAGGAACACCGGUGGCGAAGGCGGGUCUCUGGGCCGAUACUGACGCUGGAGGGAGCGAAAGCGUGGGGAGCGAACAGG
rnacentral:rRNA from 1 species